CAGUCGUACCGACGAGAAAUCAACCUUUCGAGUGCGAACUUGUGGGUUUUGAAGAGUUUCAAAGCCUUCGGAUUCGCGGGAUUGGGGAUCUCUUGGUGUACUUUUUCGUACGGUUAGUCAACAUCGGUUUUGAAUGUCAUAAAAUGAUUGGGGGAAUGUAGCUUCGAUCUUGUAUUGAAGUGUUAUAGCCUUUGGUAGAUGUGAUGUUUGAGACCCGAGGAUUGCAACGGAUACUCUUCAGGGCUAUUCGUCUGAUCUCUGAUACGUUGCCUUGAUGUUG
rnacentral:rRNA from 1 species